rfam:Microvirga sp. V5/3M plasmid unnamed1, complete sequence.
CAAGUCCACCGCGAUGAAGGAGUAGCGAUCCACAUCGACCCCGAGCCGUGCGAAGGCCGCCGUGAGGCUGUCGUCGAAGCGUCGGCAGGGGCACGUGCAGGCCAGCCAUUGAGCCACGAUAGGGUUCUUAUCCCGGAUGCCGACACGCUCCAAUACGUGGAAGGCAACAUCCCGCAGCCCGUCACCGCAAGGGCUGCGGGGAUCCGGCGUGGUCGCAGACCC